CCUACGGGUGGCAGCAGUGAGGAAUAUUGGUCAAUGGGCGCGAGCCUGAACCAGCCAAGUAGCGUGAAGGAUGACGGCCCUACGGGUUGUAAACUGCUUUUAUAAAGGAAUAAAGUGAGGCACGUGUGCCUUUUUGUAUGUACCUUAUGAAUAAGGAUCGGCUAACUCCGUGCCAGCAGCCGCGGUAAUACGGAGGAUCCGUGCGUUAUCCGGAUUUAUUGGGUUUAAAGGGAGCGUAGAUGGGUUGUUAAGUCAGUUGUGAAAGUUUGCGGCUCAACCGUACAAUUGCAAUUGAUACGUGCAUUCUUGAUUACACUUGAGGUAUGCGGACUUCGUUGUGUAUCGG
rnacentral:rRNA from 1 species